rnacentral:lncRNA from 1 species
UAUUUCUUCUAAAUUUGUUUAAGUUCCUUGUAGAUUCUGAAUAUUAGCUCUUUGUCAGAUGGAGAAAUUGCAAAAAUUCUCUCCCAUUCUGUAGGUUGCCCGUUCACUCUGAUGACAGUCUCUUUUACAGUGCAGAAGCUCUUUAGCUAAUUAGAUCCCAUUUGUCAAUUUUGGCUUUUGUUGCUAUUGCUUUCGGUGUUUUAGUCAUGAAGUCUUUGCCCAAUCAAGCCAGCUUCACCCCUGGGAUGCAAGGCUGGUUCAACAUACACAAAUCAAUAAAUGUAAUCCAUUACAUAAACAGAACAAAUGACAAAAACCACACGAUUAUCUCAAUAGAUGCAGAAAAGACCUUCAAUAAAAUUCAACACCCUUCAUGCUAAAAACUUUCAACAAACUAGUUAUUGAUGAAACGUAUCUGAAACGAAAAAUGACUAAGAUUUUGACAGAAAGUGCUUUAAACUUCUAGGUUAAAUCGGAGGAUAUUGAUGUGUUUUCCACAUGAGUCUUUCAAACCAUAACGUUAGUAUUUCUCUCCAUUUAUUUAAAUAUAUUUUGAUUCCAUUUCAUCAGCAUUCAGUUCAGUGCAUAUUUUGUUAAGUUUAUAACUAAUUUCAUUUUCUUUGGCAUGAUAGACUUUUCAUGUGUAUUAUGCCCAUUUGUCCUGCAUGUAACUGCUUCUGGAUUUUCUCCCCAACAUUGAUUCCAUCUUCUGUGUAUUUCCUUACACUAGUAAUUUAACAUGAAUGGGGAACAUCACACACCAGGGCCUGUGCUGGGGUGGAGGAAGUGGGGAGGGAUAGCAUUAGGAGAUAUACCUAAUGUGCAGUGGAGGAGGGCGCAUUAAGUUCCAGGGUGCCUGACAGGAAUAGAGAAAGAUAAAGGCAGAGUUAAGGAUAAAAAGGACAUUAAAGACACACUUUUUGCAUUUUGAAAUUCUGCCUAAAUCUGCAGAAGAGACCUUCCUCCUGGCCAUGGCUUAGCUGGAGCGCAGCUGUUCACAGCAAGCCUGGCAUUCACUGGGCUAGUCAAGGACCAAGGCCACCUAGACCAAAGACUGCUGCUCAGAGUCAUGAGACAGUAUGACAUAUUUGGAAAAUUGAUAACAGGUGUCAUUGGAACACAAACAUUGUGAGGAAGCGUGUGAGAAAACUAGGAAAUAAAUCCAGAAUUCAUUGAAGCCAUUGAAUUUCUUUAAAAACCUCUAUGCUCUUAAGAAACAACUCAUGCAGGAAACUAGAAGCUUGUGUGAAUGAAUUAGCAGAAUUAUCACAGUCAUGCUCAGAAUGACACAAAACUUAAGAAUGGCCAUAGCCUCCUUGAGUCACUGACCCAGAGUUACCAGUUCAGGGACUCUUGAAGUAGAAGCCUGGAAUUAAUUGCACCAAUUUUCUGGGUCUAAGUGAUGUCUAUCUUGUUGACCCAGGGUUGUAAAGUGAAUAGUUACCUGCCAGGAUGAGAGAGGUGCUUUGCAGAUUCAUCUAAAAGUCAUUAGAGUACAUAAUUUUUAAUAAAAUAAUUUGCAUCCUACAAGUUUGAAGUCAUCAGUUACACACACACACACACACACUCUCUCUCUCUCUUUUCAGCUUGAAAACCCAGAAGUGCAGCUAUUAUAUUUUCUCUUUAAAAGAAAUUAUAAACAAAAGUGUUCUGUCUUA